AAAAACAACACAGAGCCGCCACCGUGCGUUAUUUAUCCCAAAAGAGGGAAAGGAAACGCUCGAAGUAAACCUGGAAAAGCAUGGUCUCGCGACAACAAAAACAACACAGAGCCGCCACCGUGCGUUAUUUAUCCCAAAAGAGGGAAAGGAAACGCUCGAAGUAAACCUGGAAAAGCAUGGUCUCGCGACCAAAGAGAAUGGGAUCGGGAGUCG
rnacentral:lncRNA from 1 species